CUCUCGCGCAGAUGGAUUGUCAUCCAUCUGGAAUUUUGGUGGUAACCUUGCUGUUCUAGCUCGAACGUGAUUGGAGAAAUUAGGUAAGAGUGACGUACUACUUCAACCAAUCACAUCGAAACGGGCCGUGACGUAGUUUUCAGCGACGCGAGAUAGAAGCCACAACAGAGCAGUUAGCAUGUUGACAGUAGUCCCAGCACAGCUAGCAUGUGUAAAUCUAUAGUGGAUCAUUGUUGGCGUUUGAACGGCAAGCCGCCUGUGGUAUGCCACCUGUGUCCGACAUCGGACCACUGACGGUUACAAAACACACAAGGCAUCGGUGGAUUUUGGUUGGCAAUCCGACAUAGUGCACGAGUACUCUGCAGGGUCCAAACAGCGGCAUGCUACCUGACAAGCCACCUACGUGAGAGCCAGGUUACAUGCUACCAGCCCCUAGCACCAAGGAGGACCGGCUACUCAUUUGGUGCCAGCAUCGUUUGCAUCAGAUAAAUCACAACAAAGAUGUGGUGACCCAAGACCCACGGUUAUAUAAGGGUGGGGAUGUGAAAUGACUGAGAACCUAUUAUCAAGGUAAAUAGGACCCUUGCUGACCUCACCUGUACCUGUGGCCUCGGAAGGUAUCCAAUGUUACAGGUUUGAAUUCUUAGUAAGAGUAACUGAAAAGUAUAUGUGCUGUCCUGCACCACUAUCCACCUAAACCUACAUUAAUUUCUCAAGAGACUGUACUCCUCAUAACAUUACAGUUGACAGACGCUUUUGAUCAAAGUGAUGUACAAGGGCAGUAAUGCAACAUGUGGGUGGAAAAUACUCUGUACACAGAGUAAGUAGCAUACCCUGUUGUUAAUGAACUUUAAGUCACCUAGAAAUAUUUUAAAAUGUGUUGCAAUCAAUUCCCGUGUUGUUUUUGUUCAAAACCUUGUAUGUAGCCACAAUUGUCACACAUAACCUUCUGAAAUGUUUGUCUAAUAUAUACUUCUAUAC